UAUUCGGCUUUUUUUAAAGCCAAACAACUUAGUUAUAGAUGAAAAAU
rfam:Oryza brachyantha chromosome 6, whole genome shotgun sequence.